rnacentral:lncRNA from 1 species
GUGCUUUUGUGAGCGAGGCCCGAUGGGGGCAAAGACAGAGGAAGCACCGCAGGCCUUCCCGCUGGCUGCCAUGGGGACAGCUGCAGGGAUUCUGGCGGGCAUGCUGAGAAGGGACUGCCAUGGCAGCCAAAGAACGUUCAGUGUCGACACUGACAGCUUUCAUCCCUUUAUUUAGUUCAUUUUAACUCAAUCUGAUCUGCCAGCUCCUCUUUUCCAUGAAAGAAGGGAAUGCCAACUUGGGUCUAGAGGGGGUACCGCUGAGCUGCACAGCGCGCGAGAAAAGAAAAGGACCACAUUUUUCAAGGGGCUGAUGUUCUGCGUUUCACUCAAGGUCACUUAGAAGCAUUGAGAGCUGCCAUCCUUGCCCAGUUUGCCACCUCCUUGGCCCUCGGGGAGGAGGCGAGCCUCUCAAGGGACCCAGUGGUUUGGUUGAAGUAAAUCCAAGUCACCAGAGGCCGGAUAUGACCCCAAAGGGAAGUUUCAUCAACUUUCAUUUCCAUUCACUCCUGGGCCACUGGCCUGCCGGGGAUACUGCUGAGCCGUCAGAAAUGAGUCAGGAAAACUUUGAAAAGUGUGGGUUUCCCCCGCAGAGCCCAGAACACCCCAGAGACGUCGCCAACACUAAGAUGGGCACAGGAGCAACCGUUCCAAGAUGGGAUGUGAUUCAGAAAUUGUCUCAAAGCACUGCUUUUCCAGUGAAAUCACUGACCUUGGACCGAAGCUGAGGCGAUACCUCCAGGCGUUUCCCCAAAAGCUCAGCCUCUCCUGGGGACCUCCUCUCGCUGGGCCAGGAAGCUCAUUCUCACAGGUUCCAUCUGGUCCAC